UGAAAUAAAGUUGUGUUCUGUAGGAAGCGAACGGGCUCGAUGGCUGUAGCGUCAAGUCCAGGGAAAUGUGAAAUACUGUACCCAGAAGCCUGGGUAGUGUUGGAAGAGUGCACAACCAUGGAAGUACAUCCUUACAAAUAGUGAGAUAACCAAAAGCAUGGCUUUUGUUAUUAAAGCAUAAGGAUUACUACGAAGGGGGAAGUGCCUAAGCAACUAAGUGGGAAAGUGCCUAAGCAACAAGAAAAAACCAGAGCAUUGACUUGCAUUACAAAGACAUGCAGAAUGAUAACACCUAUCCUCCUGGUGGCCCCACAUCUCCCAGUGUGGGAUAAGAGUUUUCUGUUACUAACCUGGUGGCUGACUGAACUAUGAAUAGGGCAGUCAGUGAAUAAAGGUCAGUUAUUGCUCUUCGAGUACUAUAGCACACCAUGAUAACUGACAAUAUCUAGAUGUGACUCUAGUCUCGAUUGUUACUUCUCAGAAUUACUACGAAGGGGAAAGUGCCUAAGCAACUGCUUUUGAAGUUCUUCAGCAGGAGAGUGGAUCCAUAAAUCGGGGGUUAUUGUUAACUUUUGUCUCAAGUAUUAAUAAAAAGUUUGCGUAAAA